rnacentral:miRNA from 15 species
ACGAGAUUCUGGACAUGUCCUCCACAGGCUUUCUUGAACUGUGAAUGCGUGAAGCUGUGUCCUCGGUCGAGAAACCCAGUUCGUCUCUUGAUAGUUCAAGAAAGUCCCUGGAGAACAUGACAGAUCUUUCAGAAUUUAUGG